GAUGAACGCUGGCGGCGUGCCUAAUACAUGCAAGUCGAGCGAACAGAUGAGGAGCUUGCUCCUCUGACGUUAGCGGCGGACGGGUGAGUAACACGUGGAUAACCUACCUAUAAGACUGGGAUAACUUCGGGAAACCGGAGCUAAUACCGGAUAAUAUAUUGAACCGCAUGGUUCAAUAGUGAAAGACGGUUUUGCUGGCACUUAUAGAUGGAUCCGCGCCGCAUUAGCUAGUUGGUAAGGUAACGGCUUACCAAGGCAAGGAUGCGUAACCGACCUGAGAGGGUGGUCGGCCACCCGGGAAGUGAGACACGGUCCAGAGGCCUACGGGAGGCAGCAGUAGGGAAUCGGCCGCAAUGGGCGGAAGCCUGACGGAGCAACGCCGAGUGAGUGAUGAAGGUCUUCGGAUCGGAAAAAUCUGCUAUGAGGGAAGAACAAAUUUGUAAGUAACUAUGCACGUCUUGACGGUAACUAAUCAGAAAGCCACGGCUAACUACGUG
rnacentral:rRNA from 1 species